CCUACGGGAGGCAGCAGUGAGGAAUUUUGGUCAAUGGCCGUAAGGCUGAACCAGCCAAGUCGCGUGAAGGAAGAAGGAUCUAUGGUUUGUAAACUUCUUUUAUAGGGGAAUAAAGGUAUCCACGUGUGGAUAUUUGCAUGUACCCUAUGAAUAAGCAUCGGCUAACUCCGUGCCAGCAGCCGCGGUAAUACGGAGGAUGCGAGCGUUAUCCGGAUUUAUUGGGUUUAAAGGGUGCGUAGGUUGUUUUUUAAGUCAGCGGUGAAAGUUUGUGGCUCAACCAUAAAAUUGCCGUUGAAACUGGAAGACGUGAGUGUGUUUGAGGUAGGCGGAAUGCGUGGUGUAGCGGUGAAAUGCAUAGAUAUCACGCAGAACUCCGAUUGCGAAGGCAGCUUACUAAGCCAUAACUGACACUGAAGCACGAAAGCGUGGGGAUCAAACAGGAUUAGAUACCCUUGUAGUC
rnacentral:rRNA from 1 species